UACAGCCAUAUCACGUUGAAACACUAGUUCCUGUAUGAUCACUAAAGUUAAGCAACGUCGAGCCUGGUCAGUACCUAAAUCGGUGACCACCUGAGAAUAGGAGGUGCUGUAAG